rnacentral:misc_RNA from 1 species
AUAGACAAACAGGUGGAGAGGAGGCACAACUCGCUGGGAUGUCUUUGAUGGAUUCAUCUAGGCGGAGGGCAUCCGGGUUGGCUAUGAAUUCUGGGACUUUUGCCAAACAGAAGAGUCCAAUUGCCACCGAUACUGCAGUUCCUAAGGACGCUGGGUUUUCGGGCCCUAAUAUUAUGGGACGAUCAAGUGGAUCGUCAAGACGUGCUGCAGUGUCGAGCAGCAGGGAUCCUUAUGUGGGAAGUGAAUCAGAUCCAAACCGGUCACGAACAAGGG